rnacentral:rRNA from 1 species
CAGUCGCCGCGGUAAGACGGAGGAUGCAAGCGUUAUCCGGAAUGAUUGGGCGUAAAGCGUCUGUAGGUGGUUUAUUAAGUCUACUGUUAAAGAUCAGGGCUUAACCCUGAGUCGGCAGUAGAAACUAAUGAGCUUGAGUACGGUAGGGGCAGAGGGAAUUCCCGGUGUAGCGGUGAAAUGCGUAGAGAUCGGGAAGAACACCAAUGGCGAAAGCACUCUGCUGGGCCGAAACUGACACUCAGAGACGAAAGCUAGGGGAGCGAAUGGGAUUAGAUACCCGCGUAGUCCCUGUCUCUUAUAC